UACAGAGGUCCCAAGCGUUGUUCGGAUUCACUGGGCGUAAAGGGUGCGUAGGUGGUGAGGUAAGUCGGAUGUGAAAUCUCCGAGCUCAACUCGGAAAUGGCAUUGGAAACUACCUUGCUCGAGGGUUGGAGGGGGGACUGGAAUGCUUGGUGUAGCAGUGAAAUGCGUAGAUAUCAAACGGAACACCAGUGGCGAAGGCGAGUCCCUGGACAACUCCUGACACUGAGGCACGAAAGCUAGGGGAGCAAACAGG
rnacentral:rRNA from 1 species